UUUCAACAAAAAGAACUAUUCAGCAAACAUGCGAAUUGAAGACCCAUUUCAAAGAGACGGGUCUAUACAUUUUGGCUCAGUCUUUUCUCAAAAAUCAGUCCCAUUUUGGUUAAAAUUGGUUGAGUCCGCCCACUAAUACAUUGUGCUACCGAAAAAUAUGGAGAAUUUCAGAUAUGGAGCGACAUAUAUGGAAGAAAAAAUAAAUUGGCGUUUGAAGAAGACGGGAAAGGAAGCGAGCGCUAUUGGAAGAACAUUCACAUAGUGUUCAAGACUUUUUUGAGGUGUUUGCAGGUUGUAUUCUUAAUGGAUAAGAGUUGGCUAAACAUAUCGCAUAGGAACAAUCCUCUAUAUGAGAAUGGAGCUAAGGAGUUUCUUCAUUUUGCCUCAUUAGAUAGGCCUGAUUCAUCUGAAAUCUUGUGUCCAUGUCGAAAGUGUCGUAAUAUGAUAUUUGUCCCAAAAGAUUUGAUCGUUGAACACAUUUGGUUGAUGGAUUUUUAACUACUUAUACUACUUGGAUUUAUCAUGGUGAGAGAUCAUCUUCAUCAGUAUCUGUUGAUAAGUUAGAUAGAGGUGAUGAAAUGCAAGACAUGUUACAUGAAGCAUUUGGGAUUCCUCCUACAUCUGGUUUUGUUGAUAUAGACAUUGAUGGUGAUGGAUUUGGUGGAUCGAAUCUCCACAAUAAAGGGUUUGAUAAAAAGACUGAAGAAUUUUUUAAUUUAUUGAAAGAAGCUGAACGUGAGUUAUACCCUGGAAGCAAGUAUUCACUACUUUAAUUCCUUGUUCGUCUAUUACGUUUAAAGUGUCUCAAUGGGUGGAGUAACAAUUCAUUUUCCAUGCUGCUAGAGUUGUUAAAAGAUGUGCUUCCUGAAAAGUAAUGGCAUGAAGCAAAAAGUAAUGGCUAUGACCCGUAUAAUACUGAUAUUGAGCGCUUAGCUCAUCGUCCAAAGAGGGUUGCAGAAGAUCAGUGGCGUUCAUUAGUUCAUUAUUGGAGUUCAAAAGAAGCAAAGGAAAAGAGCGAGAGAAACAAAGAAAGUCGAAAAAAGUUGACUAUGCCACACACAUCAGGAAGAAAAAGUCUUGCUCAAAUUAUAGAUGAUAUGACAAAAGAGAAUACUGGUGUAAAGCCAACUCGUAUUGAGGUGUGGAAAAAAACUCACACUAGAGAGAAUAAACAACCAGUAAAUGACAUAGCCGGUGAAGUUAUGAAACAAAUGGAUGAUCUUGCUGAGGUGUAUCCCGAGUUAAAUGUCCCUGGAAGUGCUCGCAAUGAUAUAUAUUCACAAGUAAUGGGACCAGACACUCAUGGGAUUGUUAGAACUCUAGGAAAAGGAGCAGCUCCAAGUUUAGUUUAUGGCCCAGUAUAUAAAUGAUCGCAGUUGGAGCAACGAGAUUUUGAUGCAAGGGUUGAGAUAGAAGUUCAAAAAGCUACCGUAGCAAUCCAAAUUGAUAUGGAUAAAAAGUUGGCUGAAGCAAAACAAAAUAUGGAAGCAAAAAUGGAUGAAAGAAUGGAUGAAAAGGUGAAGGAAAAAGUGAAGGCUGAGAUGCAAGCAUACGUACAGAGUAUCGGUUUUAUGAAUGGCUCAAACAGUAAAUCAAUCAGUUAUGAAGAGCUUUCCCAUAACUCAGUUGAAGACCGCCAACAAUCAUUAUCUCCUGUAUCAGUUGUUCCAACAAAAAAGGUUAACUUAAUCAAGAACACCACAAAUAAUGGAGUUGACACACAAAAAAAGAAGUGGCACUUUUGAAGAGUGUGAUACCAAUUAUUGGCAAGUGAUGCUCGAAUUGUGGAAAGAUGAAUUCCAUUUGUCUUGUUGCAGAAUUUAUUCUAGAAGUUUAGGGAAUUAAACAGAAAGUUUGGCGUAGUUUCAUGUUGAAAUCACUUUAGCUUUUAUGUUUUAGUUAGAAUUUGUUUUAUUUGAGAUAGAACAACAUGUCCUUUGAUUUGACAACGUCUAACUUGCAAUGAGACCUUUCUCUGCUAUGUCCUUUGAAAUACAAUUGAUUGACUUUUACUAUUUCAUAA